GAUGAACGCUGGCGGCGUGCCUAAUACAUGCCAGUCGAGCGAACAGACGAGGCGCUUGCUCCUCUGACGUUAGCGGCGGACGGGUGAGUAACACGUGGAUAACCCACCUAUAAGACGGGGAUAAAUUCGGGAAAACGGAGCCAAUAACGGCAAAUAUAUUCAACAGCAUGGUUCAAUAGUUAAAGACGGUUUUGCAGCCACUUAUAGCUGAUUCCGGUCCGCAUUAGCUAGUGGGUAAGGUAACGGCUUACCAAGGCGACGAUGCGUAGCCGACCUGAGAGGGUGAUCAGCCACACUGGAACUGAGACACGGUCCAGACUCCUACGGGAGGCAGCAGUAGGGAAUCUUCCGCAAUGGGCGAAAGCCUGACGGAGCAACGCCGCGUGAGUGAUGAAGGUCUUCGGAUCGUAAAACUCUGUUAUUAGGGAGGAACAAAUGUGUAAGUAACUAUGCACGUCUUGACGGUACCUAAUCAGAAAGCCACGGCUAACUACGUG
rnacentral:rRNA from 1 species